rnacentral:lncRNA from 1 species
UUGAAAAGGGAAACAAGGAGCAAUUAUAAGGUAUUCCUAUCUCAUGAGCCUGUUGGAUUCUCAGGGAAAUGAAUUUACAGAAGGCUGUAGGCCAUCCCUGCAGAAGAGGUGAAAGGUCCUGACUCCUGAGAAGAACCCCACCUCCCUCUCCUGCAUUAGAGGCAGAGCUCCUGUCUAGCGUCCUGGUCUUUCCUGGACUGUUCGAGGACAGCCAGCAUGGUUUCCCGGACUGGAGAAGUCUGACUAGCAAUUUUUCCCAGGCUUUGACUGGGGAAUCCAGACAUUGAGGUUUCUCUGAGGACAACUUUAAGUCCCUGCUGUCAUCAUCUUCAUCGCUGAUUUGAGAGAGGGUAAGUACCGCUUCUUUCUGAACUUAUUUUUUCCAAGGCUUGCAUUGGCAUCACUCAAGCUCUUAAUAGUUGUUUCAAAGGAUUUAAAAAUUACCAAAAUAAUUCAGACAUGUUCUAGUUUCUACUUAUGUGUAUAUAUAUCCAAGAGGACUUAAAGGAAAGUGACCACAUCAUAUGGUAGAGUGAAUACAAAAGGCGCUAUAACUAGACUUUGCUUCAAGUCCUAACUUUCUACUUAUAACUGGCUGUGUGACCUUGAGAAAGUUUCUUAACUCCUUCAAUUUCUUCAUCUACAAAAUGAGAAAUUUGGGCUGCAUUCUUCUGAAAUAUUCCCUAAAUUCUUUAAUAAUGUACUCAUAUGGAGAUUGAAAAGCACUGAUUUAAAGCAGUGACUUCCAAAGUCUGCUGGGAAAUCCUUCUGCCUCCAGCACUGGAGAAUGUACGAAAAAUGUACCUCCCCUAGCUAUUUCCCAGAUCUACCAAGUGAGACCCUUGAGGCUGAAGAGCAGAAGUCUGCCUCUAACAAACUCCUCCGAUGAAUUGGUUGCACAGUAAUGGUUGACAGCCAUUGCCCUCACCACUGAGAGUUUUGUUCUGGUCACAUGUAUGUUCAAUUCUGUUAGAUGUGAUAAUCCAGGUGGAAAUUGCCUGGAACAAUCGUGAACUUGUAGUAGAAUUAACAAGGUUGGCAUCUGGUGGCUGUUUUACCCUUUGUUUCUUGGCUCCGAACCUUUCAUCCUCCACUCACCAAUUCAUUGGCCAGGUGUCUUAUGUAGGCUCCUUGGCUCUCCUCCCCUUGGCUGCAACUCAGUGGGGGUAAAAUCCUUUAGGCAAUGAUGGUUAAAGGAUGGAACAUCCUCCUAGACUCUAUUCAAAACGAGAUCUUGUCUGUCUUCUCACUCCCAGAGGUAUCAUAAUCACCAUCUCCUCUUUUGCCAUAAGCUUCACUAUGAGUCUUUUGCUUUGGAUGGUUGGGCUUUGCUCCCAAGAGUAUCAUCCCUGUGAAAUGAGUGCAGGGAUGUGGGUGGAGGUAUAUCAUGUUUGUAUGUGAAACUAAGGAGGCAGACUCUUGGAGAGGAGGCGCCAGGCCCAGCGAUCCCACACCCAGAGUGUGCUCAGAGAUUUGAACCAUGAAUCAGAAAAGUAUUCAGACUUGUGCUAUAGUUUGAUUCUGUUGCCAAUACAGAAUGUGUGCCAUUUUGGGUUUUCUUUGCAGUGUGCCUAAAUCCUCAAGGAAUCACAGCCACCCCUAGAGAGACUUACAUCUUAAAGGAAAACUAAAUCUUGACUUUGAAAUAUAAACAGGGUCUCCCAAUACUGCCUACAGAGACUCCCCACCAAGAUCAGUCUAAUUGCUCAGUGGGGUGACUGUUGCUCUUCUCUGGAGCUUCAGCAAAUAUUAUUUUCUGGCAUCAAAUAAAGGGAAUUGGAGCUUUAAGAACAUAGUGUCGCUGUUGUCUGCUUUGAGUCAGAUAUAAAACCCUCCUCCCAAAUCACAGGCAAGACAUUGUGUGUGAUGUGUUAGGUAAAGUACUAAAAAGUGCCCCUUCGUGAGAGAACCACUCACCCAUAAAGAGUGUUCCAUACAACACCCACUGCUGGCUGGGGAUGGAUGUGGGCUUUAUUUGAUUUGGGGUUGAUUUAUUUGUUUGCCUUGCUUCUAGAACAGCAUAGCUUGGGUUUAAUGUCUCGAAUACUGAAUCCAAUACUUCUAGGUUCACUGACUUGUUAUUAUUUAGCAUUUAUGAAGUAUAUGUCAGUGCACUUGGAGCUUUACAAUGACUCAUAAAAAAGCAUGAUCCUGGCAAUUGAGCAUACGGUUGCUACUGGUUGAAUUACUGCCUAUGUGGAAAUGAUCACAGGACAAAUCUGGACAUCCUUCGCCCUCUAAACAACUCUAUAUCUUGGUUCUUCAUUGCACCAGCUACCAUCUUGAUGUCAGCAUCUUAAUACGAUAGACUCAGUGUAUGGUUCUUGAUGCUUAGGAAAAGUUUAGCAAACAUCAACAGAUGAAUUGAUGGAUGAGUGGAUGGGUGGAUGGAUGAAUGGGUGGAUGAGUGGAUGGGUGGAUGGAUAACUCUCUCCUUGGUGGACAUCUGCAACUCUCUGUUUGUCCCUCCACCCAUGGCUUUAUGUAGGCAUUUUGCAAACUGUGUGGUUAUAGAGCAGGCUGACUUGGAAGCAAGGGAAUGGUUCCUUCUUAAAUGGCUUUUUGCAGUGAAGAUGAGAUUAAUAUAUCUAUGAGGUAGAGAGAAACAUAAUGAGAAACUGAUGACCCCACAUCAUACAAACUUGUUAACAAUAUUGUAUCUAUGUCAAUUUCUUCAUUUUAAUUAUAUAAGAUGUUACGAUUGGCAGAAGUGGGAUGAAGGGUAUAAGGGGAUCUCUGUACUAUUUUUACAGCUUUGCAUGAGUAUAUAGUCCUUUUACCAAAGAACCACAUGGACUUCAUCCUUCAUAUCUUUGUCAUCACAUCUCAUUACCUACAUCUUCUAGUCACUAGGCCCCUCACUAACAAUAGCACAUCCAAGUGUGUCUGUUCAGGACUUCCAAAAAACAGAAGCCAAUAUAGAAUUAGGCAAGUGGGAGAUGUUUUGAAGGAAAACCUGUGAAGCAUAAAAUGAGAAGAAGAGUCUUCAAACAGCCAGGUGGGGAGUUCCCAUUGUGGUUCAGUGGAAACGAAAUCUGACUAGCAUCCAUGAAGAAGAUGCGGGUUCGAUCCCUGGCCUCACUCAGUGGGUUAAGGACCCAGUGUUACCAUGAGCUGUAGUGUAGGUUGCAGAUGCAGCUCGGAUCUGACGUUGCUGUGACUGUGCCAUAGGCCAGCGACUACAGCACCAAUUCAACCCCUAGUCUGGGAGCCUCCAUAUGCAGCGGGUGCAGCCCUAAAAAGACAAAAAAAAAAACAAAAAACAAACCAAAAAAAAACCCUGCCAGGCAGUUCCAACACCCGUGAAAGGAGAGAAGGAAGGAAGAGGCCCAGACUGUGUGCAAGACAGAGAAAAAUCUCAGCCAAGCUAGUGAGAAGGCCUUGAGCAAACUGCCUGUCACAGGAGUCCCAUGAGGGCCGGAUGGCCCUGGUCUAGUCCCCUCACCAGGCUCUGUCAUCACUGGAGCAGCCUGGCCUGGAACAAAUACCAGGUAUGUCCAGAGAGGCAAAGACAAGUGGAGGCUGUCAAUCAGCUCUGCUCCCGGAGCAGCUUAUUUUCCACCAGGAUCGAAACGGGACGCCUCCAAGGCCAUACACCCAGAAAAGGCUUUCUCUCUGUCCUCUUACCUUCCUAUCCAGCCCUCUUAUGACCUUGACUCCUUGUCCCUCUGCCACACUGAGAUUCUUACUCAUAAACCACAGUGAAUUCCACCCUCUGCUUCCUCUAUGUAUCUGCUCCCUGCCUACCCAGCACAGUUUAAAGUCAUAGAAUGGAGCCAACUGAUGAACCAGAUGUGUGUGCCAUGCAACAUCAGGCAGGCCUUGCCACACCUCAGAGUCUGUCACAUUUCUUACUGUGUUUAUCGCAUCCCUCUGCUGCUUUCCUUGUGUACUUCCACCCUGGCUUCUGCUGGGGGUCUGGGGGCCCUGGCUCCUUUAUCCUAAACUCAACAUCUUCUGAUCACCCUCCCCCUUGGAGCUAUCCUCGUAGAUCUCUCCUUUCCUCAUCAUCAAACCUCUUGAGCGAUGUUUCUGCACCUGCUGUUCCCUUCCCUUCUGGACCAUACACUUGUCCUCCGAUGCCUCUUUUUCCCCAGGAAUCAGAUGAAGCUGCCUCCUCCCAGGUCUGUGCUGCUGAACCCAGUGUCUCAUCUUGGGUCUCACCUCCCUUCCAGGACCCUUCGUCUUGUCCGUCACCCCUCAUCUUCCACGUUUCCUCUUCCCUUGGCUUCUGGGCCACGCUACUCUCAACUCUUCUUCCCAUCUUCCUGACCUCUCUAAUCUUUUCUGACUUCUGUUAUCGUUUCUAAAUAUUCCCCCAAGAUUCUGUCUUCUUUACUCUUUAUUUGACUCUAUCUCUCCCUUCACAUUUUUCUCCAUUUUCAGAUCAACUCUCUGCAGAGUCUCUCAAUCACCAGCUCAGACUUAAAUUCCUGGGCACGGUCCCUCUCCAUCUUGCCAGAGCUUCAAAUUCGUCUGCAUUUCCCUCCCAUACUCUCUUCUCCUCUGGGCUUUCCUCUUAAUGCAACCCCCUUCUGUCUGUCAUUUGGAUUAGAAUCUUUUUUUUUUUUUUUGGUCUUUUUAGGGCCACACCUGCGGCAUAUGGAGGUUCCCAAGCUAGGGGUCCAAUUGGAGCAGUAGCCGAGGGACUACAUCGCAGUCACAGCAACGUGGGGUCUGAGCCACGUCUUCAGUCUACACUACAGCUCAUGGCAAUGCCGGAUCCUUAACCCACUGAGCAAGGUCAGGGAUUGAACCCGCAUCUUCAUGGAUGCUAAUCGGGUUUGCUAACCACUGAGCCACGACAGGAACUCCCUGACUGGAAUCUUGCUAUCACCUUGGCCCUUUGUAGCCAUUGCUCUGUCCAUCCUUCCUCCAUCAUUUAUCCCCACCCCCAGCCUUCCUGCUCUGCCAGUCACUGUCCCAGCUCCAGCCUUGACUGCCUGCCCUGUGGAGGUCCUAUCAAUACCCCUAAACUGGUCUUUCCAUCUUGAAUCUUCUCUCCUUUCAGGCCAUGGUCAUCACCAAUGGCUGUUUUAUUUUCCUAAAAGCAUAGCUUUCAUUCUGUCCCUUUUGUGCCGAGACACUUAGGGUGGCUCAACAUCGGGUAUUCACCUCCUUCCUGCCCAGUAGCUAAAAUUAAUCUCCUCCCAUCUAAACCACUGUGAUAUAUUUUUAAUACCUUCUUUUAGCCCUUAUUACUGAUUACUAGCCAGCUAAUUCUCUGAGCUCUCUUUCCCACCCCUCACUCACCCCCAAAGAAAUAAAGACAGAUGUGUGUUUUACUCUUGUUUCUAUCCUAUUCCUGUGUGUUUUCCCCUGGAGUCAACAGCCUCUCGGAAGGACAUGAAAGCAGAGCAUUCUGUCGGGUCUGACCCUGAAAUAGUGGUUCUGGUGUGGUGCUAAGAGCCAGGCUCUGGGAUCAUUCUGCCUGGGUUCAAAUCCUGUAAUCGCGAAUGUUGUGAUUUAUGGCCCUGAGUCUUGGUUUCCUCGCCUCUAAAAUAGGCUAAUAAUUGGUAUGCAUGCCGUCGGAUUAGUCUGGUGACUAAAUAAGGUAAUGCACGGAAGAGGUUUAGAGCCAAGCUUGGCACCUCUCAGUGCUCAGGGUUAGCUAUUGCUAUUAUCAUCAUCGUUAUUGUUUUAUCACGCUCACAGCAUGACAUUAUCUACAGCUUAAUUAUUCACUGUUUGGCACGAGAGACUAACUUGGGAAUUACACACAACUGGUGAAUUAAUAUCCUGAGUACUUCCACUAAGACAUCAGGCUAAUAAUUUUUGGUACUUUAGAUAACCCAUGAUAGGUCCCAGAGGAUCCUGAAACCAAGAGUCUACAUUUUCCCUUGUAAGAAAGAACUUUUUUUUUUCUUUGAGUUUUCACUGUCUGUAGUUUUACAUAGCAGCUUCCAAGACUCGGGACCUGGAAAAUGAACUGAAGGCGGAAGGAAAAGCCACCACUGACCCAGAAAAUGUCUGGUUCCCCACAUGUGCGAUAACACACGUGACUACAAUUGUAAAUGAGCCCACGGACCAGGCAGAGGUGGCAAAAGACCAAAUGUUGGGAGAAAGAGAGGCUAUCUUAGAGGAAGUUUAAAAAAAGCAGUGUGAACUAUAAUAGUUGAUUCUAACAAAUAAAGACAUUAAAAUGAGGGUUAAAACUGGUCAGCUCGAUGAUUGCACAACACUGUAAAUAUAAUUAAUGCCAUUGAAUUUAAAAAGGAUUAAAAUGGCAAAUUUUAUGUUACAUACAUGUUUACCUCAUUAAAAAAAUAAUCGAUACACACACACACACACACACACAAAGCUAGGCAGCUAAAAUGUAUAGCAAUUUAUAAUAAUACUUUUAUUUCGGGAAUGUUUUUCCAUGUGGCAGAGCUGCUUGUGUCAGGUUAGUAUUCAUUAAGUACCUACGUAGACAAGUACUGUGCUUAGUAUAGCGUAUGAAAUAAGUAGCUAAUUUUUAUGUAUUAGUACUGAAGUGUUUAUUACUGUUAAUGAAAGAAUGAUGUCGUUCAUGAAAAAGCAAGUGGCCCUCGAUACAGUCGUUACAGACUUGUGGGCAAAGUACAACCACCUUUGUUAAAAGAAAAUUAGGGAGUUCCCAUCGUGGCUCAGUGGUUAACGAAUCCGACUAGGAACCAUGAGGUUGCGGGUUCAAUCCCUGGCCUUGCUCAGUGGGUUAAGGAUCCAGCGUUGCCAUGAGCUGUGGUGUGGGUCGCAGACGCAGCUCAGAUCCCGCGUUGCUGCCCCUAGCCUGAGAACCUCCAUAUGCCACAGGAGCGGCCCAAGAAAUGGAAAAAAAAAAA